CGAGAAGCCAGCUUGUGCCACAGCAGAACAUCUCCUUGGCACAAGAUCUAGGUGUAACCUGUGCUCAUUUUCAGCAAGGCGUCACCCAGCACUGCAGGUUCUUCCUGUCCUCAUCUGUACCUGCUUCUCCCACAAGAUUCCAAGCUGCUAAGCACAUAGUGUUAUUUGUCACCUAGUUAUCCCCCGAACUCACAAGACUGUCCUGGAACUGCUAUACCCAUGCCUGCUGAGCUUGGUUUCCCCAGAGUUCUUGACAGCCAGCCUGAACUACAUAACAAGAAAAGAAAGUGUAUGCGGGAAAAAGAAAAAA